rnacentral:rRNA from 1 species
UACUCCUACGGGAGGCAGCAGUGAGGAAUAUUGGUCAAUGGUCGCGAGACUGAACCAGCCAAGUAGCGUGCAGGACGACGGCCCUCUGGGUUGUAAACUGCUUUUAGUUGGGAAUAAAAGGCGGUACGUGUACCGCGUAUUGUAUGUACCAUCAGAAAAAGGACCGGCUAAUUCCGUGCCAGCAGCCGCGGUAAU